rnacentral:misc_RNA from 1 species
UUGAAAUUAUAGGUGAGGGUUGUAGCUGGCCUCUCGGGGCAUGUGCACGCCUGAGCCCUUAAUCCACACACACCUGUGAACCUAUUGUAAGGGCCCUUAAAAAAGGCCUUUACGUCUUAUCAUCAACCCAUCGUAUGUCUCAUAGAAUGUAAAUAUAUGUCCUCGCCUUAAAAAGCGUUGAUAAACUUAUA